GUCGGAGGUUCAGUCCUCCCAGGCCCACCACUUCGCAAUCCGCAAGGAUUGUCGGAUCUCCUCGAUAUCCGUCGGGAAACACUAUCAGGGGCCGUAGCUCAGCUGGGAGAGCGCCUGCUUUGCAAGCAGGAUGUCGUCGGUUCGAUCCCGUCCGGCUCCACCAACCAUCUUCUGUGAAGGUGGGGCGUGUCGAGUAGAGGAUGAUCGCCCGCGGUCAGUCAUUCGAAAAAGAGUUUGCGGCGCGCUUCGUGCUCUCCGCCUGUUCUGUUUGACAUCGUAAAGAGAAGAUUUGUUCGAACUUCACGGCUGCAAGGCUGUGAUUUGUCGCAAGGACGCUCAAUCCCUUGCCUAUGAUGGGUUUGCCUAACCGCGCCCUCGAACGGAUCUCGAGAAGCUGGUCUUUUUGUGCCAAUUCCAUUGAAGCAAGCCCCGCACAGGGUUUUGCUCAGGCGGCGAUCCUUCGGAUCGCGCAGAUGGGUAUUGGCAAUGAGAACGAUCAAGUGUCUUAAGGGCAAUUGGUGGAUGCCUUGGCAUGCACAGGCGAUGAAGGACGUGAUACGCUGCGAUAAGCUACGGGGAGGUGCGAAUACCCUUUGAUCCGUAGAUCUCCGAAUGGG
rnacentral:misc_RNA from 1 species